rnacentral:lncRNA from 1 species
GGGAGAUACGAUAUAUCUUUUUUGUUUUGUGUUUUAUUUUGUACACUGAAUAUUAUCUGGAUCUGCACAAUUUGAUCUAUUGUUAGUGUGUGUGUGUGUGUGUGUGUGUGUGUUGCUAAGAAUAAAACCCAGGGCUUUGUGUGUACAAGGCAAGCACUCUACCAACUGAGCCCCUUGAUCUAUUAUUUGUAGCAUUUGUUUUAUACAGUGAAAGGUGGCAUAUCCAUUUUUUUCUGUCCUAACAAAACAUCCCAAAGCUCAGGUGCUAAUACAGUCAUUAAUUUAGCUCAUGAUUUCUGUUCUGGUCCAGCUCAGCUGACUUCUGCUGGACGGCUUCGGCUUCCUGCACGUGCAGUCUGCCUGUAGCUCAGCUCAGCUACGUGGUCCUAAAUCAGCCUUCCUACCAUGGUGGUGGAUGGAGGCUUUCGCCUGGGGCCACAAGAGCAGCGGCAUCACCUUCCCUUGUCAUCCAACAGUUAGAUCCUGCAGCAGGUGGUGGGGGAAGGGAGCAAACCAAAGGACGAGGACUGGGGACUCCGAAGCCUCUUUUUUUUUCGCCUUUGUUAGCCUUGCUUGGCCAAGGGAAAUUCUGGCCCAGAUGGUUUGGCUGAACCUGACUCCUCCCCUUACUGGGAGGGGCUGUUUAGGGCCGCCCAGGUCACGUGGUAGGUUGGUGGGGUUCCCCGGGCUGGGUUGGUUGUUUCUGGGUAUUGCAGGUGGUACCUGGGGCUGUGAGCUUAUUUUGGUAUUUAUUUGUUCCAUUUGCUUAAUUUUUAAUCAGUCUAAUUUUUUAAGCCCUGGCCUCUGGCGCGCUAUGCAAGCGCAGCAUCGCUGGGCUGCAUCCCCAACCCAGUGCUUAAUUUUCUGAAUUUUGUUUUUUCUUGUCUGUAAAAUGAUCAUGGAGAUGAUGAGUAGAUUUGAAGUAGUGUUAAGGAUUUCUAGUUGUCUGUCAGGCGCUGGGGGACUAACUGGUCAGAUAGUAGCUAGUGGUUCCUUUUUUUCUCUUCGGCUCUUACCCCGGGGCCGUGGUCCACCCUGCAGCACCAGUGACUGGGGAAGCUGAGGCAGGG